rnacentral:lncRNA from 1 species
UCCCAUACUUAACUAUAAUUUUCACAUCAAUACUUGGUUGGCUUCAUGUCUUACCAAACAACAUGCUAUCAUCUUUUUCCUCUUAGAAUAACAAAAUACUUUUCAAUAGAAUAUUCCUACAGAGUCUACUAUUUGUUGAUUUCUUCUUCACAACACUUAACAUUUUUCUAGAAUAGUUGUCCCAUAUUUUAUUUACUGGCGAAUACUUACCAUCUAAACUCACAUUUAUUAAAGUCCCAUACUAAAUUUUGAUACUAAUCGUUAACCAAUCAAUUCAUAUCCCACUUAUAAAACCCAUCACAUGCUCAUAAUGACAAGGUACUACCUAGACCAUUUAGAAGAAUUCUCACACAUAUUCAUUACAAAACACAAUAACACCAAAGAUGUCAUACAUAUUCAAUUUCAUAAAAACCCAGGACAAGAUAUGAUAUUGUUCAGAUAUGACGAAUAUUGGAUAACUUAGAUUUCAACUUUACGUAACUUAGAUAAACUCAGACCAACAAACAUUUAUAUCUUUCAUAAUUACGAAUAUGCCCAUAAUCCAAACUGGUAGAGUACCAUGGCAGAUAACCCCUUUAGCAUAUGAAUACAUACUUUCUUUCAAGAAAUUUCCCUUAAAACUCUUUCGAUUACAUUAUAGAACUAAUCGAACCAAUUUAACUUCAGUCGUAUCAUAUCCUUACCAUAAAAUUAUCUAUCAACAAACUCUCAGUACUAUCCAAAACUUACCAUAAAUGUGAAUAACCAUAUUUUACCACACAAACAACACUGAAUAUGCCAAUGAAACGAUACAAAGAUUUGCCACAAGGGCUUAGCAGUUUACUGUCUUAGCAGACUUUUACAGAAGGUGCCAUGGGUUUCUCCCUUAUGGACUUACAUAUAACUUCAUGUUGUGAUCUGCCAGUCCGGUUCACAUAUUGUCGAAGGCAUCACCAUGAAUAUUCUUUUUAUCAUAUUAUACCAUAGGUAUCAGUCACAUGGGCUUACAUAUCUUCAUGUCGUAAUCUGUCAGUCCAGUCUUCAUCUUAUUGGAGGCUUCACCAUAAGUGUUUUCAAAUCACACAAUGCCAUGGGUCUCAACCACAUGGUCAUGCCCUUAUUUUUGUAUCGUGAUCCUCUAGUCUAGUUAGCAAUAUAACUACCUUACUAAAGGCAUUGCAAAGAGGACAUUACUUAAUAUCCUCUUACCUAAAUUUGUUGACACACCAGAAUGAUUCGCACUUUCCUGUAUCAGAUUUUACCUACAUACUUACCACUCAUUUUGCUAUUCAGACAGUACUCUUAACAAAUCAUAAUCGUACAUAUAAUAAAAAAUAUGUUUUUCACACUUACCAGCUAUCUAGGGUUUUAACUGUGACAGCCCUAAUUUGACCCUAGUCAAAAAGUAGUUUCGGGACCACAAAACCGAGUCAUAAAAAUAAUUAAUCGUUAUAUUCUAUGCUUAUUGUAUGUGUACAUGCAUGUGUGAAAGUUUCAUGCUUUAAUUUUGUUAUUUGUAUGUGAAAUUUAUUAAAUAGGACUUAUGUGAGAUAAUUGUGAAAUGUGAUAGGUAAAUUUAAAAGUGGUCUAUUAAUGCAUGUUAUAAAAAGGUUGGACUUGCAUGUCAAAUAUCCAUUUUUGUUUAUAGUGGCCGGCCAUGAUGAUGCUUUUAUAUUAAAUAUAUGUAUUAAUUAUUAGUUAAAUGGCUUUAUACUUUAUAAUAUAGAUGAAUAAAAUAAAAUAAUAAUAGAAAGAAUGGUGAAGAAAACAAAGUCUCAUCUUUGUUCUUCUUAGCUGAAUCUAAUGAAAGAAAAAGAGGAGCAAGACAUUCGGCCAUUUGAAUCAUAAGGAAGGUUAGUAAAUUGUGUUAGAUUUUUUGAAAUUCUAGCUUGUUUUAGGUUAAUCAUCAUGUUUCUUACUUAGCCCAUGCCAAAAUUUUGAAUUUUGAUGGAUGAAUUGAACAUUCAGUUAUGGUUCAUAAAGAAGGAAUUUGAUUAUUGCCUUUAAGUUUUGAUUAAGAAUUUUUUGAUGAAAGAAGUUGAUCUUGUUAAAAGUAUGAAUUGUUAAUGCUCAUAUGUGUAAUAGUCGAACAUGGAGUUGCUUAAUGUCUUGAACAAAUGUCGUUUAGGUGUUUUGAAUUGAGUAAAUUAGGUGUUAUGCAUAGGUAAAAUUAUUAUGUUCAGUUUUGCUAGUAUAUAUGUAUAAUCAAUCCAUUUUACUAAUUAUACAUAUACGGUGAUUAAAAAUAAGAUCUUUGAUGACUUGUGUUUAAUGGCAUUCGGCCAAAGUCUAUAGGUGCUUGUUAAUUCGGUUUAAGUGUAUAGGUGCUAAUUACCUUGUAUUUGAAAUUUUGAAGAAUAAGUAGUAAUUAAUUAAAAUGAUGAAAACUAAAUUUUGAGUUUGAUUAAGUUGGGCAUUUGGCAUUACCUAUAAAAUUGAAUAUGAAGGUUGAGUUGAAUAGUUAGAAAUGAAUGAGUCAUAUAGUAAUCAUUAAUGGAAUUGCAUGCAUAUGAGUAUGAAUGUAUUUAUGUGUGUGUGCGGCAUUAUUGAUAAAUAGCAAGUGGAAAUGUGAUAAAUGUUCAAUAAGUUGAUAUUCGUAUAUAUAUGGUUGAAUUCGUGCAUAAGGUAGCAUAAUAAGUUAGGUGAAUCUUUGUUUGUGCAUGCGAUUUUGAUAGAGAUUAAAUAAGCAUGAAAUCGAGUCAUGGCAUGUUUUAUAAAACAUAAUAUGCAUUGAAAUUAUAUGAUUUUCAGAUGUGACUAUUAAAGAAUUAAAGUUGAGUAAGUAAUUAAACAAAUUCAUUUGUUUAAAUUAAAGCUCAAGAGCAAAGAGGAACUAAAUCCGAUAGGGGAAAGGAGAAAGCAAUCAAGUAGCCUAUCUGCAACUGUUCAAAAUAUCCGAGGUAAGUUUUGAGUAAUCGCCUUUAGUAUAAAAUUAAUGAUUCCUUGAUAUAUAUAUACUAGAUGAAUUUUGAUCUUUUUGGUUCUAUUUGAAUUAAGUUGUGUGGUAAAUAAUCUAAGUACAUGAUCUAUUGUUGAAUGACCAAUUUGACUUAAGCUGGAUUGGUCAGAGGUAUAUGUGAUAUGUAUGUAUGAUUUUUAAACCAAAAUGAAAAUGAUGGUGUUCAUAUGAAGCUUACGUCCAAAUGUAGCAAAUGGCUACUAAUGUGAAAUGUUCCAUAAGAUGUGUUAGUAAAUGAUUAAAUAGGUAUGAUAUUUGAUGUGUGUAUCUGGGCUUAAAGACCCCCAAGCUUCGUGCUGGAAUGGUAUCCGGGUUUAAAGACCCGCAGGCUAUAUACUGGAAUUGUAUCCGAGUUUAAAGACCCGCAGGCUUCGUGCUGGAAUAGUAUCCGGGUUUAAAGACCCGCAGGUUAUAUGCUGGAAUUGUAUCCGGGUUUAAAGACCCGUAGGCUUUGUGCUGGAAUGGAAUCCGAGUUUAAAGACCCGCAGGCUAUAUGCUGGAAUUGUAUCCGGGUUUAAAGACCCGCAGGCUUCAUGCUGGAAUGAAAUCUGGGUUAAAGACCCGUAGGCUCGUGUUAGAAAUGUGUUUUGAGUUCUAAGACUUGACAAGACUGAUGCCAGUAAGUUAAGUAAGAUUAUGACAUUGAAUAUUCGUGGUAUCCAUCACCGAGUAAGUAAUAUAUAUAUUUUACAUGUUAAGGUACGUAUUAUGUACUCAUAUGUGAAUUGAUUGCAAAGUAAAUU